rnacentral:rRNA from 1 species
GUGUCAGCAGCCGCGGUAAGACAGAGGGUGCAAACGUUGUUCGGAAUUACUGGGCGUAAAGCGAGUGUAGGCGGUCUGCUAAGUCGGGUGUGAAAGCCCCGGGCUCAACCCGGGAAGUGCACUCGAAACUGGCAGGCUAGAGUACUGGAGAGGUUGGUGGAAUUCUCGGUGUAGAGGUGAAAUUCGUAGAUAUCGAGAGGAACACCGGUGGCGAAGGCGGCCAACUGGACAGAUACUGACGCUGAGACUCGAAAGCGUGGGGAGCAAACAGGAUUAGAAACCCUAGUAGUCC